rnacentral:sRNA from 4 species
UUGCUAUCUGCGAUAUGGAAGAUUCGAACCUGCCGCAGGUUCGGGUCGAACGCAGUGAGACAACGGAGCCGUGUACGGCGACGGCCCGAAGGGCGAGCGAAGCGAGUCAUCCUGCACGACCCACCA